ensembl:lncRNA
AAAGUGUGUAUAGAGCAAGCAAGACAGUGUGUGUGUGUGUGUGUGUGUGUGUGUGUGUGUGUGUGUGUGUGUGUGUGUGUGUGUGUGUGUGUGUGUGUGUGUGUGUGUGUGUGUGUGUGUGUGUGUAUGUGUGUUGGGGUGUGUGUGUCUUGGUGGUUGGGGGGUUAAGCCAUACUGGUUUGGACUGGUUUGGAGUGCUGCUGCAGUUGGUUUUCUGCAGUUCUCGGCCGUUCUCACGGUCAUCCUAAUCUACCUGUGAAAACACCUUCAAACCAUACUCCCCCUGGCUGGUUGUUUUGACCAUGUGAACAUAUGGACGUCCAGGAACACAGUGUGCCCCAGACAGGUCAUGGUAGGCGUCAGGGUGUGUGGGUAUCUCUGUUCACCCAGAGGAAUGCAGUUCAAAGGUCAAAGUGCAGGAGGCAGCGGCAGUUAUGACGGAGACACAACGCAGAGUGCUUCCCUGUAUGGGUUCACACCCGUCCUAUCCCUCUGAAGAUUUGAUUGUUGCAAAGCUAGAUGGAGUCAUAAAGGCGGUUUAACGGUUUGACUCUCUGUGACGUGGCCAUGUGACUGGACGUGUUCCAGGCCACUUAAGCCCCGCUGUGAGACCUGACCUGGAAAGGGGAAGGGGAAGUUCACGGCUCGGGUAAAGUGGGUCAGUGCUGCUCCACAUCCAUCCAAGCGGUGACUCACUGCGUCCUGUUGCGCUAACAUCAGCAACGGUAUCCAUGGCGACCGGAGCGGCGGCGGCCGUAAGACCGUAAAGGGCGGGGCUCGGGCCGUCUCUGACAGACAGGCAGACGGGAGCCUCCACACCGGGUUAUAACCCCUCCCGGCGGGUGUUAGGCUCCACCCCCCGGGGGGGACAGCGCUAGAUGGUGUCGAGAUAAGGUUCUCCUGAAUCCAGGAAGAUGGCCGCGCUGGUAGCGGCGCCAGACCUUGAAGGCACCGGACGGGAGGGACCGAGUUCUGAAGAAAGGGUUCGGAAGAAGGGGUUGAGAUACAAGGAGCUAGUUCUGAAGAAGGUGUUAUUGAGAAGGGGUUCCUCAGAAGGGGUUCUUGAGAAGAAGUUCUUAAAAAGGCGUUCUUAAGAAGGUGUUCAUAAUAAGGGGUUGGUGCUGAACAAGGUGUUCUGAUGAAGGUGCUUUGAAGAAGGGGUUCUUGAGAAGCGGUUCUGAAGAAGGUGUUCUGAAGAAAGGGUUCCUCAGAAGGGGUUCUUGAGAAGCGGUUCUCAGGAUGGGGUUCCUGCAGGUUCUCCAGCAGGCUAAACGCUGCACUCACAUUCACAAGGCCUUGGGAAGGAAAAGGUGGUGAUACUUGUGACUAAAUUCAAACAAACCCUUCUGUUAACUGGUUCGUCUGUAGAAUAGCUGCAGGCUACGGCUCACGACUCUUCUCCAGAACGGUUCCCACCGCACCGAAGGCCUGCUGCGCUUCAGAAUGACGUCGUCUGAACAACGCAACGCCGGCACGAUCAAAGCACUCCCAUAAAAGAGGAUUCAUUACACCAACUCAGUCAAGAAGUGAGCAAUAGUUCCAAGAAGCUCAUAAAAGCGAGGCUGUAUGUUGCUGCGAGUAAAUGAAUCUUAUAAUCCCAGUCUAAUUCAGCUGCGUUGUGUUCCAACGUGACCCUGGACUGCACCAUCAUGUAGGGGUGUCCACGGACUACACCAUCAUUCGGACAGGGGUGGGUGUUGGGGCUGUGUUCCACCUGGUGUCGUAUCCAUGGCGACCAGGUGAAACCCCCACACCUCACCACCAUAGAGAACCAAGGGGCCGAGUUACGCCUUGAGAUAUUUGAAGAUACUUAUUUCACAAUUCAAUGGAUAUCAUUUGAUGUCCGUGUUUCUGCUUCACGCUGCGCAGCUGAAGAAGACCCCCCAGGCCGAUGGUCUUAGACUGGUUCCCUGCUGUCUGGACUUCCUGUGGUUGGUCGGGUGGAGGUGAUGGAGAGGGGAAGAGGGAGGUAAACAUGACUCCAUCACAGGCCCGGUGGUUCCAUCGCUCACCAGCCGGCGAGGGGAAAAAGGCACUUAUGGGGGCCAGCGCGGAUAAACUGACCAGAGGAGGGAACUACGCUUGGCCGAACACGGUACCAGAGUGGCCCCUGGCUCCUGCUGCACCACCCAGUAGAUCCCAUCAGUAGUGACUACGAUGUCCAUUGUUGUUUAGAUCGCUCUUGGUCUGACUGGUUUAUGCUAUAUUAGACACUUCAUGUCUUGAUGAGAUGCAAAAUUAAGUAUCUUCAUCUAUUCAUGAGUCCGAUUCCAAAGCUUAUCCAAACAAAUAUUAAAUUAAAGUAAAGAUUAUUGUUGAAAAAUAAAAACACAAGACGUGCAAAACAAGCCAGGUCUAAAGACAGUGUGCUUUUCCAGCCAAACCCACCCCCGGGGCCUCAGGUCCUUUCCUUUUAAGGACACUUUUCCCUGUAGCGGGAGCACACACAGCACACACAUCAAUUAACAAAACAAACACACGCACACACACACAAUACUGACUGAAUGAAAACAAAUAACUGGCUCACUAUACGAUCAAUAUAUUGUCUCUCUCUCUGCAGAGACCACAGCAUGGCGGCGACAUGUGACGGGUCGCUCGGCCAUCAGAGGUCUUACGAGGAGAAUAAAUCAGCAGGAUUAGCGGGUGUGAGGAAGUGUUCUCUUGGAGGGGAAUACGGCGCGCUCAGCAGGGGUUAAUGUGCUUAGCGCGACAGAUUACAGGAGGAACCGAGAGCCCAGGUGACCGCCACCAACGGCCAGUUGAAACCGGUUCCCCGCCAGAAGGAAUCAACACGGCGAUCGGUUGAGAUGACCGCACACGAAGGCGCGGGCGAAGGCACCUCCCCUCACGGGGACACUGUGUACGGGAAUACAAUCAACACUCAGAGAGAGAUAUGGUUUGUUUGUGAAGAGAGAGAGAGAGAGAG